UAGUCCUUGCAGGGCUUUCAGGGUCCCAAUUCCUGGAUGGUAGGGAAUCUGGAGCCUCUGUGACCCUGGCAAUCAGAAUCAGUUUUCCUAGACCCUGAUUACUGAGAGAGGAGUGAGGGCACAGUGCCCAGAUUCAUGGACAUAUGAGAGUUCUGUCCAUUUAUCCCCACAGUGGCAAUAAUUUUCUAGGUACUGGAGGAUGGAAAACUCAAGAAUUCCCUCUGGUAUGCAUCGCAUCCCAUUGUCAAGGUUGUACUGAAGCCAAAUCUAGCGCAUACAGAUAUUAGCCUUUUGGGACAGAUUACAUCAGACAGUCCCAAAUUAUAAAGAUUUUGUAGGAGGCAAUCCAGGGGCAAUAAAGGAUCUGAUAUCGAAUUUCAAUAACCUAUUUGAAAAGUCUGUGCCCAAUUGUGGGGUUCAAGUCUGUCACACUGCAUCUACUGAGACAUCUCUUGAGCCAAAACGGGGCUGUGAAAAUUGAAUGGUAUGCAUCCCUGGCCACACAAUCUUCACCUCAGUUAAACCGGGCUUAGCCGCUUGGAUAAGACCUUGGGCGCGACUGCGACUUAAACAGAAAGCCCCCAAAUCAAUAAACAUAGAUGUGAAUGGAUCCUUAAACCCUAUUGACAUAGAGCAAAAACAAGGGGAACUUACCAAGACAAAGCCAAUCUAGCCUGGAAGCCGAUUUAACUUGGCAGAGAGCACUCUCAAUAAAAGCAUUUUUCUGCAUGUGGCCUUGAGCCCCUGGGAAAAAACACAUCCUCCAAACCCCCCAGUGGGACCUCCAAAACGUUAGGAAUAUUGCUAAAAUCGAGCCUCUCUGCUAACACGUGUAAUCCCAAUCAGACCGAAUCAGACCUUGUUAAAAGAUAUCCAGGUUUAUUUGGACCCCUGUGCUCUCGGGUGACCCUAGGGGGAGCAGAAAGCCAACAGGACCAUUGAAGAGGAAAAGGGAAGACCACUCCCAUGGGAUAUUUAAACUGCCCCCGCCCCUGCAGAGAACAAAUGUGGCUUUCCAAUCUUCCUUCUCCAUCUCCCCACUGAGGACAUAGGGUGGCCUCCCAGGAAUGCUGGCAUCUGUUAAACCUGGGCUUUUUCUAAUUUGGUUUGAUUUGGUCUGAUUCAGAUUAUUGCAUCAGUGGAGAGGUUUAUUGGGAUGUAAAAACUUUUCAAAGAUGUUUAUGUUAAUGACUUUGAUGCAGAAAGUCUUGAAGGAACAAUUUAACAUUUAGAAAGGCACAUAGUUGAGUGAGGUCUUUGGGGUCUGGGAACAAAAAAUGGCAGCCCGGCUAUUGCUGGCUGAUAUGCCUUGAUCACAGGUGAUGAUUAAUUCCUUGUACCCAUUUUAGCUCUCAGUUUCCUGAUAUGAUUUAAUAAAUAUACUGUUGACGAGUGGGUAUGCACCCUGAGGCUUUAAAACAGAAAUGUUGAUUUUUAGUAAUCAAGAAUGUAGAUUUGUGAUUCUUUUGAGAUUUUUUUUAAUAAAAUUACCUUUUGAGAUAAAUUAUAAAAUUAUUGGUCCUUUCUUUGUAACUCUAAAAUACAGCCUGUCAGUAAGACCUGGCUGAGAAAAAUAUCUUAUACUCUGUUAUUGUACAACAAGUUGCUUAGAUAUGAAUGUAUGUUGAUCUUUGGAAAUCAUUUGACUUUCUUUUCUUCAAUACAGGGAUUCUCUGUGUAGCCAUGGCUGCCCUGUAACUCACUCUGUAGACCAGGUUGUCUUGAACUCUCAGAGAUCUGCCUGUUCCUGCCUCCCAAGUGCUAGUACUAAAGGUUCCUACUUGUCUGACAAACACAUCCAAGCAUCAGUUGCUGAUGACAACCUGCUCCAAAUGACUAUGAGUCUGAACUUGCUAAAAUCUGGUGUGAACCAGCCUAGCCAAUGCGAUUGCUGUUUCUUCAGCUUGUGUAUGACCCAGAUGCUUCCAAGUUCCCUCGUUGCCUUUGACCGAUAUUCUGGCCUUCCAGGACCCUGAGAACAGUGUCCUAUGGUCAGCAGGAAGUAAUUACAGAAAUGAGUAUGACAUCCCUAUUUCCUUUCUGUAAUGUUAGAUAAAAUGGGAAUUUCUCAAAUGUUGAAUGGAUAAUGUCCAGUGUAUUGGAUUUUGUUAAUCCCUUGGUUUAAACUUCAGUAAAGCUCUUGCCUUGUA